GGCUAUUGCUCAGUGGUAGAGCAUCUGCUUUGCAUUCAGAAGGUCCCAGGUCCCUAGCAUUUCCAGGUAAGGCCA